rnacentral:lncRNA from 1 species
AGCUGUGGAGCAAUGGAGCAAUGACAAAUUGUGCAUAAUGGUGACAAUUAACUAUACUUACCCCAAACCUGUUAACAUGGAUACCUAUCCCAAUUGUUGAAUUCCGUUAUUACACGUUCCACUGCUGUAUUUUUCUCUACUAAAUUCCAAAGGCUUGCGCCAGACGGUAAGAAGCAACAGUCAGCGGUCGCAAAAACCGCCGGAGCUGCUGGCAGGGCCUUCUGUGUAAAAGCAGUUGUGUUUAAUCGCUCAGAAAUUCCACUUUCUCGAGAAAUGCGUGGCUGGAUCGAAAUGGUUGACUUAAUUCCAAUGUUUGUUGUCUGACUGAUGACAAUAAUUACAGAGGGUUGGCGUUUCUCUCUUGUCUCACCAUUCAGAUCUGUUGAAGUGCAGAAAAAUAAAAUACAAUCCCGUCAAACAAAAAAAUACCCGCUGAAAGGUUGUAAACUUGUUUGUUUAUAGGAAAGGACUGAGAGUUAAAACUAAAGCAAAAAAGGAUAAAUUUGGACAGAACCGAUUUUGGAAAAGAUGCCUAUUUAUCCAUCAUUACUGCAGAUUAAAGAAGUACUGCAACUCAUCUGAAAGAAAAUAUCUUCGUCCUAUUUAGACAGUACUGCAGCUCCAGCUCUGCCGGGCGAAUGUAAGGGCUGAAGCUGUUUGAAGACUUUAGUCAACCAUAACUACUCCACCAUUCUCUUCCAAACAUGCUCUCUAAUUGUGCAGAUUAAAAUUAUCCCUUAAGGUGCCCCAAGAACCUAACGGGAAAUUUUCGGAACCUAGGAAAUCAAUGGAAACCUACAGAAUUAGCCUAUUGUUCCAAUCCAUUUAUUAGCAAAAAUUGUAUAACAGAAAAUAGUACAACCAUGUAUUUAUGUAUAUAUGUAUGUUAUCUACCAUUUUAUUCAUCCACGAGCCUCUUCCAAGCUAAGUUAUUUUCAAUACUAUUCGAGACCCACCCAAACUAUUACGAAAUAAUGAAUAAUGUUAAUAAUUCUGUCUAAUGGACAUGGGAAUUAAGUCUGUAGAGUUAGAUAUCUAUAAGGGUUGAUACUUACACCUGUUUUUGAACUUGAAAAUUUUCAAUUUGUGUUGGUCAAAAUUGCAGGUGCUGUAGUUCAGGUUUUUUAAAUAAUUAACUGCCAAAUUCUAAUAAUUUUUUAUAGUGGUUAUGAGAACGAAGUCUGUGGGUCUAGAUAUUUCUGGGGCUGAUACUUACCCUUGCUUUUGAACUUAAAAAAUUUCAAAUUCUGUUGGUCAAAAUUGCAGAUAUUAUAGCUCAUAGGCCUUUAAAGAUUUAACUGCCAAAUUUUAAUAAUUCCGUCUAAUGGGCAUGGGAACGAAAUCUGUGGAGUUAGAUAUCUGUGAAGCUGAUACUUAUCCCUGUUUUUGAACUUAAAAAUUUUCAAUUUCUGUUAGUCAAAAUUGCAGGUAUUGUAGCUUAUUGAAUAUUAAAGAUUUAACUGCCAGAUUCUAAUAAUUCUGUCUAAUGGGCAUCGGAACAAACUCUGUUGAGUUAGAUAUCUGUGGGGCUGAUACUUCCCCUGUUUUUGAACUUGAGAAUUUUCAAUUUCUCUUAGUUAAAAUAACAGAUAUUGUAGCUCAUAGCAUUUGAAAGAUUUAACUGCCAAAUUCUAAUAAUUCUGUCUAAUGGGCAUGGGAACGAAAUCUGUUGAGUUAGAUAUCUGUGGGGCUGAUACUUACCCCUGUUUUUGAACUUGAAAAUUUUCAAUUUCUCUUAGUUAAAAUUGCAGAUAUUGUAGCUCAUUGAAUUUUAAAGAUUUAACUGCCAGAUUCUAAUAAUUCUGUCUAAUGGGCGUGGGAACGAAAUCUAUUGAGUUAGAUCUGUGGGGCUCAUACUUACCCCUGUUUUCGAAAUUUUCGAUUUCUGUUAGUCAAAAUUGCAGGUUUGUAACUCAGGAUUUUAAAGAUUUAACUGCCAAAUUCUAAUAAAAGUUACAUGUGCAAUUUUGACGAACAAAAAUUUUCAAGUUCAGAAAUAGGGGUAAGUGUCACCUCCAGAAAUGUUAUAGAUUUUCUUCUAAUGUCCUUUGGACGAAAUUAUUAAAGUACGGUAUUUGAAUCUUUAGAAGCCUAUGAGCUUCAACACUUGCAAGCAUUUAAUUUUGUUCCAUUCGUAAUAGUAAUUAGUAUUAUUUUGUUAAUUUCGUAAUUAUAUUUAGUUUUACUUUGUUAAUUUUAUAAUUGUAAUUAGACUUAGCCACCUUGAAAUCCCGCCCUCAAUCCCAAUAUAAGCUUCUUAGACUCUUAAAUAUGUGGAUUUUCAUUGUCUAGCAAGCGCUAACAACCGCGCCAUCUAUUAUAAUUUUUUGUAACUAAAUAAUAUAUUAUUAUUAAUAAGUACAAAGAAAACUAUACUAAUGUAGUUUAUUGAUUUCUAAUAGUUCAACAAUAUCUUCAUAGAUAGUGCCACUAGUAGUAACCAAUAUACUAUAUUAGUAAAUUUUUUUACUUCUAAUUUGUUAGGUAAAUAAAAUGCAGGAAGACUAAUUAUUUAUUAUAAAUUCUGUGUACCGAUUUAUAUUUACACUUUUGAAUUGUACCUAUUAUAUGAAAAUAUAUGUGUUUUGUAUUUGA